GAGAGAUGAUGAGACUGAGAGAGGAUGAGAGGGGAGGAGUAACAAAAGUAAAAACAAAAACUUGAAAAUGAAAACAAUUUCAUAUAUAGAUUUCUGUUUUUAGUAAUUUUUUUUUUUUCACUUUUGUUACUCCUCCCUCCUAUCCAACCCUCUCAUCUUUCCUCU
rnacentral:snoRNA from 1 species